rnacentral:rRNA from 1 species
GAUGAACGCUGGCGGCGUGCUUAACACAUGCAAGUCGAACGAAGUGGAGAUCUUCGGAUUGAAACUUAGUGGCGGACGGGUGAGUAACGCGUGGGUAACCUGCCUCGUACAGGGGGAUAACAGUUAGAAAUGACUGCUAAUACCGCAUAAGCGCACGGUAUCGCAUGAUACAGUGUGAAAAACUCCGGUGGUAUGAGAUGGACCCGCGUCUGAUUAGCUAGUUGGUGAGGUAACGGCUCACCAAGGCGACGAUCAGUAGCCGACCUGAGAGGGUGACCGGCCACAUUGGGACUGAGACACGGCCCAAACUCCUACGGGAGGCAGCAGUGGGGAAUAUUGCACAAUGGGCGAAAGCCUGAUGCAGCGACGCCGCGUGAGCGAAGAAGUAUUUCGGUAUGUAAAGCUCUAUCAGCAGGGAAGAAAAAUGACGGUACCUGACUAAGAAGCACCGGCUAAAUACGUG